CGAUGCCGCGCCGUAGAGAUGCAGCAGAACAAACCGUUCGCGACGCACUUUUAACAGACCCAGGUAACUGGCUGAUGGUUCAAUGGAAUGCUGGCUGACUUGCUGCUGGUUGACUGGGCAGUGUCAGCUGUCCCUGUCUCUCCUCUCUAGCCAUGUCCUUUUUCUUCACUCUCACUUUCCCUUCUCUGAGUGUCCUUGUUCUUUUUUCCUCAACCUUUGAAACUGAUAGAGGUCUAGGGGUGCAUCGUGGAGCAGGGCCCUCCUCUUUUUGACCACAGGACGAUGUACAAAGAUUGUGGGAAUAGCAUCUGGUCUCAGCCUACUCUUGAAUUUUUUGGUCAUGACAAAUUGCUUUGCCGCAAUUUUUCUGCAUACUGACUUCAGUUUAGUUUCCACACACACCUUUUUUUUUGUCUACCCACAUACAGUACAUAUCACAUGGUGGUUAAAUGCACAGUUAUAGGUAACACUGAUGACUCCCUGCAAUGUCUCACCAUGAGUCUCAGCUCC